UCUCUCUCUCUCUCUCGUGUUUAUCCUCUUCGAGCGACUAGAAAAAAGAAGGGGAUAGGAGAAGCCGACAGCUUCGACCUAGCAGAGGCCGGCGGCGGCGGCGCAGGUGCGCCGUCCCCCUGAGCCACUCCCCGCCAUAGAGUCCAACGACGGUGCAGGUGCCUUCCUCAUCGGCCGCCGUGCCCCGCCGUCCUUAGCCACGCCUAGCCGUGCUCCCUGCCCGCUGUCCUUCUAGUUGAUUGGCCCUCAUGCUCCGACGUGGACAUCUUCUGCUAAUGGAGAUUGGCCCAUACACGAUGGAGAUUGGAAUUUGUGAAGAUUGUUUUUCAUGUAUGUCUCACAUGUAGUAUCUUGUAGUACUGAUCGGCGUCCAGACUUUUUAGAUUCAGUCAUGAAGCUGAAAUUUUAGAUUGAUUUAGUACUGGUCGUCAUCCACAAUUUUUAAGAUUUAGUUGUUUUUCGUCGACCCUUGGCUUGCAAACUUUUAGAUUGAUUAUAGUACUGUUCAUCAAUCAUCAUCCACUAAAUUUUGGGGGAGAGUCAGUUCUGAAUUGUGCCGUGCUAGCACUGAAUAAUUAGUCAGUAGUUUCAGAAAUCAUAAUCACAUAAUGAUUGAUUAUGAUUUUUCACACUUCUUUACUACCACAACAGUCUAUUUACAUGAAUUGAUUUGUACGCAUGCCUGUGAUAAAUGUAGUAUCAUUUUUUUCAUGAUCAUUAUGUAAUUGGUAACUACAUAUAUUACUCAAUACCAUAUAUAUUCUUGCAUUUAACGUGAUAAUAAUUUAGUGUGUGCAAAUCAAUGCAUAUCCUUUUAUUCUUUCCACGUAGUGGGAGAUAAGUAGCAUUUUCCGAGUCAGCUUUCAGUAGAAGUGGAAGAGUACUUAGUGAGCACCGCAGUCGUCUGACCCCUGAUUUGCUAGAGGCUUUAAUGUGUUCACAAAACUGGGAGAGAAACAAAGCUAAAGAUGAUGAGAAGACCGAGGCUGCUAGUUUCUGGAGUUGCCUUGAUGAUAUACAAGAAGGUUUAGAGCGCAUCACACUAUAGAGGGGGUUCCUUCUGUACUUCCUACAAGUCAGCUCAACUUCAACAAACAAUGAUGUCGAACACAUACCAAGGCUGUAGCUGUUAGCUUGCUACCUCUGCAAUACUUUUGCGCACGAUCAUGUUUACCUUAAGUUAGUUAUGGUCACAUGGAACCUUAUGUUGGAGUCAAUAAAUUAUGUCAAGCGAGUCAGACAAAUUUUGUAGUCAAUAAAUUAUGUCAAGCGAGUCAGACAAAUUUCGUCCUUAUUAAAUGUGGUGUUUGCAUUGAUA